CUCUCUCUCUCUCUCUCCCCCUCUCUCUCUCUCUCUCUGUCUCGCGCUCUCCUCUCUCUUCUCUUCUCUCCCCUCUGGUCUCCCUCGUCUUCCCUCCCCCCCCCACACCCCUUCUUCCUCCCCUCGGCUGCUCCUGCUUUUCGCAUCACACACACUAUAUAAAUAUACGCGGAGAUGCCCAGAUACAUUCAUGCGCUGCGCACACAGGAUACUUGCUCCCGGGAGAUAAGAGCGAACUAGGAACAAUGCCGGGGUCCACGCCCGGCGCCCGCGCCCUGAUUCCCGAGAUACGUUCAUUAAUGCUUUUUCCAGCCGGAGACAAAUUUUGGGGGGGGGGAGUGCAGAAGAGUUUACUCGGGCUGGGGAUAACCUGGAGCUUACUGCCCUGGAAGACCUGGACGCAAACCGAAGCAGACCAACCAUUAAAAAGUGCAUCCAAUGGACAUUCUUCCACUCGGGCCCUCGACUGCGGAGUCGCGCAAACUCCUGGAGCGGCUCACGCAACUACGCGGGCUCCUGCGGUUUCGGACGGACCUCGGCCGUCGGGGGCGGGGACUCGGCUCCCAGCGCGGUUAGCGAAGGGACGCCCUCGGGGCGGUGCGCCUCGGUCCCUCAGCUACUGGAGAGCUCCCGGCUCCGGGAUCCGCGGCACCCCAGGCCACUUAUCCGCGCCAUCUAGGGUCAAACCCCUCGCGCAUACCCCGACCCAAGGGCCCAAACCCUUGCGCCCGGGCGCCCGGGCCAGUGCUGCCUAUGCAGUGCCACCUUUGGCCCCAAGAAACCUACGGUACAGCGAGACGAUCCCUCCAGGCUGUCCGGCAGGUCUCCAGAACACAGCUUGCAACAUCCCCGCACCGACCCAGACCUCUCCCAGGGACCGGGCGUUGAGGAGAGAGAACGGACCAU
rnacentral:lncRNA from 1 species